rnacentral:rRNA from 1 species
GAUGAACGCUAGCGGCAGGCUUAAUACAUGCAAGUCGAGGGGCAUCAAGGUACACGAAAGUGUAUUGUUGGCGACCGGCGGACGGGUGAGUAAUAGGUAGGUAACCUACCUCAUACUGAGGCAUAGCUGGGAGAAAUUCCAGGUAAUUCCUCAUGAGGUUAUAUGACACAUGUGAUAUAAUCAAAGGUAUCGCAAGGUACUGGUAUGAGAUGGGCUUACUGACCAUUAGCUAGUUGGUGAGAUAAGAGCUCACCAAGGCGAAGAUGGUUAGGGGUUUUGAGAGAGAGAUCCCCCACAUUGGAACUGAGAUACGGUCCAGACUCCUACGGGAGGCAGCAGUAGGGAAUAUUGGGCAAUGGGCGGAAGCCUGACCCAGCCAUGCCGCGUGAAGGAAGACGGCCUUAUGGGUUGUAAAACUUCUUUACUAUGCGACUAAACUAGAUUUACAAGUAAUAAUUCUAUAGAAAUGUAGCAUAGACAAAAAAGCAACCGGA